UAAAAGACAAUUGUAAAGAUCUGAAAAUAUCAUUAAGAAAACAUCUCUAAACAAACCAAUUUUAUGCCAAUGUAAACAUUAAUAUGAAUUGCGAUUUUGUGUGAAAAUCCAAUCAGCAGAAAGUUUACAUAAUUGACAAAUCAGAGUCUAUAUAAAUUACAUUUCCAGUCAAAGAAAGAAAUCAAAGCUCAGGAUAAAAAUCUACAUGGCUCUAAAUAGGAACUGGAACCAAAAUUUUCAUUGAUAUUCAAAAGAAAGAUACUCUCUAUAUUAAAAAGACUGCAAUACUUUCCAUAAAUGAAGUUAAAGAAUAAUUUUGAAGAGUUCUUGAAGGUUGUAAUGCUUUCGGCAUAAAAAUAAUGAAAGAUAAAUGAUUCAAUAUAUUUUUAAGAAUAACGGUGAAAUUAUUUUAAAAUUAUUUAUAACAAUAAACGAGAAAUUAUCAAAUAUAAAAAUCGUUCGUGUUUAAAGUGAGAUUACAUAAAUGAAUCAAAAGAAAUUUAUGUUUCUCUAAGAGCAAUAUAUGCCCUAUAGCGAUGUUUUAUGUUGUUUUACAAGAUUGUCAGAAAUUCUAUUGGCAAUAAUGCUUACUGGUCCACUAAAGUAUUUUAAAACUCCUACAGGUCUUAGGAAGGGAAUUGGAAAGUGAAACGAACUAUCCAUUCUAUUACAACUGAUGUUGUUCGCAUCAAGAUAUUGUUCAGCAUCUCUGAUUCUAUGAGGACAAGCAUUAUCAUUCUGUAGAAGAAUUCUCUUAUGGUACUCACACAAGACCUAGCGUCUUAUUCCGAUAUCUAUGAGCAUUCAUAAAGUCAGUAGAAAAUAAUAGAAAUCUCUGGGUAGAUUUGUUUAACGAAAGUCUCUAACAUUAAUAGAAGUACAUAGAUGAAGAGAGAAAAGAAAACGGAAAAAUAAUUUUUAAACAUAAAAGUAAUGGAGUUUGAAAGACAAUAAAAAAAUGAAAAAGCACACACGGUGGAUUAUAAAAUGACUCCUCGGGGAUCGCUACAUACCUGAGAAGGGAUGGAAGAUUUAUUCUCCGAGAAGAAGGAAAUUCUCUAUAGUGUUUGGACUUCGUACUGAGAUGGUGCCACUAAUGGGAAAGCAAGAACGAAAUGAAAUUUGCAUAAUCUAUUUAUUUUUGAAUAAUAAAGUAUGAAAAAAAAGAG